GAUGAACGCUGGCGGCGUGCUUAACACAUGCAAGUCGAACGAUGAACCGGGUGCUUGCACUCGGGGAUUAGUGGCGAACGGGUGAGUAACACGUGAGCAACCUGCCCCUGACUCUGGGAUAAGCGCUGGAAACGGCGUCUAAUACUGGAUAUGUCCCGUCACCGCAUGGUGUGCGGGUGGAAAGAUUUUUCGGUUGGGGAUGGGCUCGCGGCCUAUCAGCUUGUUGGUGGGGUAAUGGCUCACCAAGGCGUCGACGGGUAGCCGGCCUGAGAGGGUGACCGGCCACACUGGGACGGGGACACGGCCCAGACUCCUACGGGAGGCAGCAGGGGGGAAUAUUGCACAAUGGGCGGAAGCCUGAUGCAGCAACGCCGCGGGAGGGAUGACGGCCUUCGGGUUGUAAACCUCUUUUAGCAGGGAAGAAGCGAGAGUGACGGUACCUGCAGAAAAAGCACCGGCUAACUACGUGCCAGCCGCCGCCGUAA
rnacentral:rRNA from 1 species